rnacentral:rRNA from 1 species
GUUAUAUGGUCAAGUGAAGAAGCGCAUACGGUGGAUGCCUUGGCAGUCAGAGGCGAUGAAAGACGUGGUAGCCUGCGAAAAGCUUCGGGGAGUCGGCAAACAGACUUUGAUCCGGAGAUCUCUGAAUGGGGGAACCCACCUAGGAUAACCUAGGUAUCUUGUACUGAAUCCAUAGGUGCAAGAGGCGAACCAGGGGAACUGAAACAUCUAAGUACCCUGAGGAAAAGAAAUCAACCGAGAUUCCCUUAGUAGUGGCGAGCGAACGGGGAUUAGCCCUUAAGCUUCAUUGAUUUUAGCGGAACGCUCUGGAAAGUGCGGCCAUAGUGGGUGAUAGCCCCGUACGCGAAAGGAUCUUUGAAGUGAAAUCGAGUAGGACGGAGCACGAGAAACUUUGUCUGAACAUGGGGGGACCAUCCUCCAAGGCUAAAUACUACUGACUGACCGAUAGUGAACCAGUACCGUGAGGGAAAGGCGAAAAGAACCCCGGAGAGGGGAGUGAAAUAGAACCUGAAACCGUAUGCGUACAAGCAGUGGGAGCCUACUUGUUAGGUGACUGCGUACCUUUUGUAUAAUGGGUCAGCGACUUAUAUUCAGUGGCAAGCUUAACCGUAUAGGGUAGGCGUAGCGAAAGCGAGUCUUAAUAGGGCGUUUAGUCGCUGGGUAUAGACCCGAAACCGGGCGAUCUAUCCAUGAGCAGGUUGAAGGUUAGGUAACACUGACUGGAGGACCGAACCCACUCCCGUUGAAAAGGUAGGGGAUGACUUGUGGAUCGGAGUGAAAGGCUAAUCAAGCUCGGAGAUAGCUGGUUCUCCUCGAAAGCUAUUUAGGUAGCGCCUCAUGUAUCACUCUGGGGGGUAGAGCACUGUUUCGGCUAGGGGGUCAUCCCGACUUACCAAACCGAUGCAAACUCCGAAUACCCAGAAGUGCCGAGCAUGGGAGACACACGGCGGGUGCUAACGUCCGUCGUGAAAAGGGAAACAACCCAGACCGCCAGCUAAGGUCCCAAAGUUGUGGUUAAGUGGUAAACGAUGUGGGAAGGCUUAGACAGCUAGGAGGUUGGCUUAGAAGCAGCCACCCUUUAAAGAAAGCGUAAUAGCUCACUAGUCGAGUCGGCCUGCGCGGAAGAUGUAACGGGGCUCAAACCACACACCGAAGCUGCGGGUGUCACGUAAGUGACGCGGUAGAGGAGCGUUCUGUAAGCCUGUGAAGGUGAGUUGAGAAGCUUGCUGGAGGUAUCAGAAGUGCGAAUGCUGACAUGAGUAACGACAAUGGGUGAAAAACACCCACGCCGAAAGACCAAGGGUUCCUGCGCAACGUUAAUCGACGCAGGGUUAGUCGGUUCCUAAGGCGAGGCUGAAAAGCGUAGUCGAUGGGAAACAGGUUAAUAUUCCUGUACUUCUGGUUACUGCGAUGGAGGGACGGAGAAGGCUAGGCCAGCUUGGCGUUGGUUGUCCAAGUUUAAGGUGGUAGGCUGAAAUCUUAGGUAAAUCCGGGGUUUCAAGGCCGAGAGCUGAUGACGAGUCGUCUUUUAGAUGACGAAGUGGUUGAUGCCAUGCUUCCAAGAAAAGCUUCUAAGCUUCAGGUAACCAGGAACCGUACCCCAAACCGACACAGGUGGUCGGGUAGAGAAUACCAAGGCGCUUGAGAGAACUCGGGUGAAGGAACUAGGCAAAAUGGCACCGUAACUUCGGGAGAAGGUGCGCCGGCUAGGGUGAAGGAUUUACUCCGUAAGCUCUGGCUGGUCGAAGAUACCAGGCCGCUGCGACUGUUUAUUAAAAACACAGCACUCUGCAAACACGAAAGUGGACGUAUAGGGUGUGACGCCUGCCCGGUGCCGGAAGGUUAAUUGAUGGGGUUAGCGCAAGCGAAGCUCUUGAUCGAAGCCCCGGUAAACGGCGGCCGUAACUAUAACGGUCCUAAGGUAGCGAAAUUCCUUGUCGGGUAAGUUCCGACCUGCACGAAUGGCGUAACGAUGGCGGCGCUGUCUCCACCCGAGACUCAGUGAAAUUGAAAUCGCUGUGAAGAUGCAGUGUAUCCGCGGCUAGACGGAAAGACCCCGUGAACCUUUACUGUAGCUUUGCACUGGACUUUGAGCCUGCUUGUGUAGGAUAGGUGGGAGGCUUUGAAGCGUGGACGCCAGUUCGCGUGGAGCCAUCCUUGAAAUACCACCCUGGCAUGCUUGAGGUUCUAACUCUGGUCCGUAAUCCGGAUCGAGGACAGUGUAUGGUGGGCAGUUUGACUGGGGCGGUCUCCUCCUAAAGAGUAACGGAGGAGUACGAAGGUGCGCUCAGACCGGUCGGAAAUCGGUCGCAGAGUAUAAAGGCAAAAGCGCGCUUGACUGCGAGACAGACACGUCGAGCAGGUACGAAAGUAGGUCUUAGUGAUCCGGUGGUUCUGUAUGGAAGGGCCAUCGCUCAACGGAUAAAAGGUACUCCGGGGAUAACAGGCUGAUACCGCCCAAGAGUUCAUAUCGACGGCGGUGUUUGGCACCUCGAUGUCGGCUCAUCACAUCCUGGGGCUGAAGCCGGUCCCAAGGGUAUGGCUGUUCGCCAUUUAAAGUGGUACGCGAGCUGGGUUUAGAACGUCGUGAGACAGUUCGGUCCCUAUCUGCCGUGGACGUUUGAGAUUUGAGAGGGCUGCUCCUAGUACGAGAGGACCGGAGUGGACGAACCUCUGGUGUUCCGGUUGUCACGCCAGUGGCAUUGCCGGGUAGCUAUGUUCGGAAAAGAUAACCGCUGAAAGCAUCUAAGCGGGAAACUUGCCUCAAGAUGAGAUCUCACUGGGAACUUGAUUCCCUGAAGGGCCGUCGAAGACUACGACGUUGAUAGGCUGGGUGUGUAAGCGUUGUGAGGCGUUGAGCUAACCAGUACUAAUUGCCCGUGAGGCUUGACCAUAUAACACCCAAACA